CCUAGGGGUAAAGAUUAUAACCGGUGAUCUUAGUUUAGUAGGAAAAAAAAUAUAUGUAUUCAAAACGGAGGGGUUUCCUGAAUAGUGGCGGCACAAAAUUUAUAGAAGAACAAGCAGGGGUGGUUAUUCAAUUCUUACGGUGGCUUGAAAGUUUGAGAAGUUUAAGGUGAAUACCUUUGCUUCCUAAUAGCUGAACGAAAUUGGCUAUCCAUUUAAAUCAAAAUUUUAGAAACCUAACGAGCAGAUUGAGGCCAUUGGAGGCCGUUUGGUUGGUGUUCUAGACGUUGCAAGGUUGAGGAACUUGUCGUUAGCGAGAUACCGUCGUUGAGAACGAGGCUGGUGAUUGAAGAUUUCGUGAGUGGAUUCUGUUGCUGAGAUGAGCCACCACAUUGUUCGUGGAGGCAACCAUUUUAACUUUAUCUAGUUUACUUCUAGUUAUUUCUUUUAUAUUUGGGUUUACAUGCCCGACAUUCAAACUCAUGUAACUCUGUUAGAUGCUCCAUGGUCUUAGUGUGAAUUUGGGCUAGUAAUUCUUUUAUCUUAGCAUUGGUUGGCUUUCAUUAGUCGAUAAUGGAUUUGGUUGAUGAUUAUUUUGUAUUUUAUUAUUAAUAAUGUCAUUG